GGCGAGUGAAGCGGGAAAAGCUCAAAUUUGUAAUCUGGCGCCUUCGGUGUCCGAGUUGUAAUCUCGAGAAGUAUUUUCCGCGCUGGACCGCACAUAAGUCUGUUGGAAUACAGCGUCAUAGUGGUGAGAACCCCGUAUAUGGUGCGGAUGCCCAGUGCUUUGUGAUAUACUUUCGAAGAGUCGAGUUGUUUGGGAAUGCAGCUCAAAUUGGGUGGUAAAUUCCAUCUAAAGCUAAAUAUUGGCGAGAGACCGAUAGCGAACAAGUACCGUGAGGGAAAGAUGAAAAGCACUUUGGAAAGAGAGUUAACAGUACGUGAAAUUGUUGGAAGGGAAACGCUUGAAGUCAGACUUGCAUUUUGGAGUUCAGCCGCAAGGUGUAUUCUUCAAAUCGCAGGCCAGCAUCAGUUUUUGGGGGUGGAAAAUCGCGGUUUGAAGGUAGCAGUCUCGGCUGUGUUAUAGCUUUCCGCUGGAUUCACUUUUGGGGACUGAGGAACGCAGUACGCUUUUUGCAAGACUCUAGAGUCUUCCGUACUUAGGAUGCUGGUGGAAUGGCUUUAAACGA
rnacentral:rRNA from 1 species